GUGGAUGAAUGGAAUUCCAUAGGUGAGAGGUGUAGUACUGGUGUGUAACCCAAGUCUGUAUCCUGCAGUUCGGGUGUAGCGAGAUAUGUCAUAGCGGGAGCUCUUUCAUAUCAGUCGGAUUGACCCAGUUGAGGGGAAGUGCCUAUCGGCUUAUGUCCAGCGUGAAGCCGUGGAGUGGGUCAAUAUUUGGCAGGACGUACGGACCCAGACUGCGCUGCUGUUUUGUCUCUACGUGAUUAAGACGACUGAUGUGAUAUACUGUCAGUGAUUUACGGGGAUGAUUAGUCACGUACCCUAAUGU